UACGUAGGGGGCAAGCGUUAUCCGGAUUUACUGGGUGUAAAGGGAGCGUAGACGGCUAAUCAAGUCAGAAGUGAAAACCCAGGGCUCAACUUUGGGACUGCUUUUGAAACUGAGUAGCUAGAGUGCAGGAGAGGUAAGCGGAAUUCCUAGUGUAGCGGUGAAAUGCGUAGAUAUCAGGAGGAACACCGGCGGCGAAGGCGGCUUACUGGACUGCAACUGACACUGAGGCUCGAAAGUGUGGGUAUCAAACAGG
rnacentral:rRNA from 1 species